GGGACAAAGGAAACCGCAGGCACGAGGAGUCAAAAAAGUGUCCCCGAGGGAGAGGCGCCCAGGCCAGGGAUGCAAAGAGCCGGCCCAGCCCCGAGGAAGCAGCGAAGGGAGCUGCAGAUCUCAAAGCUUCUCAUAAGGGAAGGCGAGCAUCAUUAUCCCCAGUGUAAAGGACGUGAUUUGCCCGUGAUCACACAGCAGAUCUGUGGCUGAGCCAGGAGUAGAAACCCAAUCUCCUGAGUCCCAGACCAGCAUCCUAAACCAUGCUGCCUCCCAACUGCCUCUGCAGCUCUGGUACUGAUGCUGUGCUUGUAGUGAGGUCUCUGUGGCGCAAUGGACGAGCGCGCUGGACUUCUAAUCCAGAGGUUCCGGGUUCGAGUCCCGGCAGAGAUGAUCUCCAGGCAGGUGUCUUUUAUUUUGCACUCACUCAGUUAUUGGCCAACCCAGCCUGGGGGCAGGAUGUGGAGCUGCACAAAACUGCAUCUGGGGUUUGCAGUGAGACCAGCCUCCCGGAGAGUUAUCAAGACAGCUGACACCUGGUUUAGGUGGUCCUCCCAGUGACUACUGCAGAUUAGUAUGUCGUCCAGGGCCUGUCCAGCGGGUGACCUCGUAUGGCCCCUGCCAGCAAGCCAUCAGCUUCGACUCAGCUGAAGGGAGCAAGACAAGUACUCGGUCCCCUGGCUCGAAAAUCCGCUCUCGCAAAUGGUGAGAUUGUAGCCUUGUGCUUGGGCCUUUUGGGCGACUUGGAGGUUCUCCUAGGCAAGGAUCCCAGCCUGGGCAAGGCACUCUUGGAGCUUAAACACAUACUGAAGCAACCCUUCAGCAUGGAACAGGGUCUGUUCCCAUGUCUCCCACCUGAGAUCCAUCAGGCCUUGAGGCUGGAGGCUGUAUAGGAGCUCGAAAGGCGAAAAUUUGGUGGACGCCUGUGGCACCUUCCGAAUAGCAAGCAGCAGGUGGGGGGUGAGCUGAUCCCAAUGGUGGAGCUCCUCAGGGGGGAAUUUCCAAAGCAUAUUCUUUAGUGCCUGGUUAAACUGUUCCACCAACCCAUCUCUUUGCAGGUGGUAGACGGAAGUCUGGAGCUUUUUGAUCUCCAGAAGAGCACACACCUCCCGGAGGAGCCAGGAGGUAAAGUUCGUCCCCUGAUUGGAGAGUAAUUCCUGGGGCAGGGCCUCUCAGGCAAAGAUUUUGAUAAACUCUGCUGCUACAGUACGGGCUGUGGCACUUCUCAGGGGGAUGGCCUCAGGAACCCAGGUGGCAUAGUCCAGGACUACCAGGAUAUACCGGAAUCCGGCGGCGCUCUUAACCAGAGGCCCCACCAAGUCCACGGCUACCCUUUCAAAAGGGGUUCCCACCAGCAGGAGAGGGACCUUGCUCGCAUUCCAGGCAGGAGGUACAGUGGUCCUUAGUGUCACAGUGUACACCUGGCCAAAAGAAAUGGGACAGAACCCGGGCCAGUGUCUUCUCCAGUCUGAGGUGGCCGGCCACCAGGACAUCGUGCGCCAGCCUUAACAUGGCUCAUCUAUGGCAUCGAGGGAUCAGCAGCUGGGACCGGGUCUAGCAGAUCCUGGGGUCCAGCUCGACUUGGUACAGCCGAUCCUGAGUGAGCUCAAACCAAGGCCACUGAUUGGCCCUCUGUGCAUCUACCAUGACCCCAUCCACGAAGGACAGCUGCUCAUAGGCAUGCUUCAGUUUGGGGUCAUCCCUUUGAUCCUGGCAAAAGUCUGUUGCCAUGUCUAGCCGCAUAUCUGCCCCAUUGGGAGGGAUUGGUGUGCCAUUGUCCCUGGCAGUCUGAUCCUCUGGUGGACCGAGGCCCGGUUCCCCUAACUCCAUCUCCGUGUUGUCAGGGGUGUCCCCCUUGAAGUCACUUAGGUCUGGUUCCUCAGUCUCCACCUCCAUAUCAUCGGGAACUGUCUGAAUAGGGGUUCCUUGGCGACCGACAGUUUGCAUCACCUGGUGGAACCCAGGCCAGGGAUAGGGCAGCACUGGAGCGACACCCGUGUGCAUUCCCUAUGUUAGUCUGGCCACUGUCAGUGUCACCUGGGCUGUGGGGUAGACCUUUAUGUUUCCAUCGCUGCAGCGAAGGCUAAUCUGACCUCGUAUCUGGUCAGGGACUGGGAUCAGCCACCAGCAUACCAUAGUCUGUCCACACCCCAAGUCAACUCGGGUUUCUAGGUGCCACUUGCCCAGGAUCACCGGGAUUGUCAGCUUGGGGCCAAGGUGCUGGCAAGCGCAGGUAUCUCUGGUGCACAUCUGGCCGUAGGAUCUGAUCCUCACAGGCCAUUGGUCCUGUAAUGGCCCAAACUGGCUGUCAUCACAAGGCAGGCCUAGCCUUGCAAUCAGCCCAGGGCUGAAGGACGGUACCACAUGGCCAGGGCUUCCUGCUGCUAGGAAGUCCCCCAACAACUGUACCGCUGCAGCCAGAGUGGGGGACUGGUGUCGCAGGACCCAGGUUUGGCCAUGGGGUCCCAGUCUCUGCAGCAGUCACUGCUGCCGCUGGAACAGAGUGACUUGUUGUCUCUGCUGGUUCUCAGCCCACUGUCUCACCAGCUGGCCCCAAUCCAUGGUGGUCUGGCUGGCCCCAAUCUGGGCUCUGGCUGCUGACCCGGGUGGGUUGCAACAGUCUAUUCACCCAACCCUUAGAACCAUUUUAGCACCAGACAUUCCAUAAAAAGGGGAUUCUUUUUUCUUGCUCUGUCUCUGGUGGUCUGUGUCCUGUCUUUCCUUUCCCCUUGGUUUUCCAGUUGCUUGUGUCCCUGCUCCUCCAUUCUCCUCUCUCCUAUAAUGUGUCCAUAUUGGUCUCAAUCUCCACCCUUUCUUCCUGUUGUGUUAAUUUGGAUGGAAUAAAUGGGCCCAGGGAGUCAAAGGAAUUAAUGUGAUCCCUGUCACUAUACAACACUAGACAGUUAAACAAGACUCAGGUUUUAGAGAGGCCUCAGCCUGCUUAGUCUCGUGGCAAACGCACUGUUAAAAAUCUUUUUAACCUUUUAUUAAAAAUACAGAUAAAGAAAGAAAAACAGUUAAAGCCUUCGGAAUGUCAAGUAUUAAGUAAGGCUUUUAUUUUAACAACAUCCCCUUAUUUCUCUUCCAUCUAGCUUGAGAGAGAUUUUUGGAAGCGAAAAGAAACCCCUGUCUGACAAUCUCUUGGAUGGUAUUACAGAUAGUAAUAGCUGUCCUUUUGGGGAGGAGAGAGAAAUUAUUUGAGAUGGGCUGGAGCUGCUGCUGCUGUUGUUAAAGUCCAAUCCCAUUUCCUAGAUGACAAAUCAAGACAAAUGGACACAAGAGGGGAGAGAAAAGACCAACAAAUAUAGAAAAUGCAGCUUCUGUCUCUGGUGCUAACGCUAACUCUCACUUGCAGCCUCACUGUUGGAGAAACACAGGCCCAGCCCAUGAUCUGUGUCAAGCUGUCCUAUAGUGGCUGAAGAGGGUGAGUACCAACCUCGGCGCAGACAGUUAAGAAUCAGGGCACAAACUUAAAAGUGGUUGUGAGUUCUAUACUUUUAUUUCACUAAUCAAGUAUCAAGUGUGAACUCCUCAAGCACUAUAACAGACAAUCCCCUUGGUACUCCUCUCUAUCUUACCACAUAGGCAAGCUUGCCUUUGUGACAGAUGGUCCUUUAUACCAAAAAUCACAACAAUAUUGAGAUUCCUCCCAGUUCCCAAGGACCAGUCACUUACCCCAGGUCAGUUGCAUCUUAGAGCUUACAUCAAAGACAACACUUGUAGCCAAUCCUAUAAUAAACUAUCUAAAAGUGUAUUCACCUUUGUCACCUUUGUGCAACUUGUCCUCGUCCGUCCCUCCGCAAACUCAAGUCGACGCCUCACCACUCCGUUCUGUCGCGAGCACAUUCUUCCAAUUUCUGGCCAAAGAGUUUUGUCAUGGGAUCAGCCCAGCACAUUUUCGGUCUGCCCAGCAGUUGCUUGUGGUCUCUGGGGAUCCAGUCACUGAUGCGGGUUGUCCACCUAUUGUCUUACCUAUGGACUACAUGACCCACCCAUCUUUACUUUGCAUUGUACAUUGCCUUGCACUACAUCGAUCACCUCUGUAUGCCUUCUGAUCUCCUCAUUCAGUAUGCGAUCACGGAGUGAUAUCUUACACAUUCGCCUUUCCAUUGCUCUCUGGAUGACGGCAAAUUUUUCUUCCUUCACUUUCGUCGUUGACCAGCUUUCUCCUCCAUAUAUCACUGCUGGCAAAACAGUGGAGUUAAACAGUUCUUUCCUUUUCUUCUGUCCGAUCACACUCCUCUCACAAGUGUAUAUAGUCUUCACCCGCGUCAUAUUCAAUCGGAUUAAGAAGAAUCUUGAAAUGUACGAAAGGCGAGAACAAGCUGGUUUCUGCUCAGGGUAUUGGACAAUUGAUCACAUCCACUCAGUUCGAAAAAUUGAAAAAUGCAAGGAAUACAAAGUACCAUUUUGUAUUGCAUUUGUCAACUACAAAAAGGCAUUCAACCCAGUAGAGGUUAACGCUGUACUCAGCACGCUCAAUGAAAUCGGAAUUGACCCAAGGUACAUUGACCUGCUGGAAGAAAUUAACCACAAUUGCUUGACAGAGAUAACAUUAUUCAGUGUUCCCUGCAUUAUUACUAUACACAGAGGAGUCAGACAAGGCGACACAAUCUCACUGAAGCUAUGUGCAGCAGUAUUGCAGUUGCUGUUCAAGAAAUUGAACAGGGAAGAAGGAAUCAGAAUUGAUGGGGACCAGUUAACACAUCUUCUCUUUGCUGACGACUGUGUAAUACUGGCAAAGGACACAGCAGAACUGGAGAACAAAUUGCAGAACUGCAAACACUUCCACAUGAUAUCGGGUUGGAAGUGAACAUGUCGAAGAUGAAGUGGAUGCAGAAUGAGCAUUGGGCAGAAGGAAUCAUCACUGUAAACGGGAAAGAAAUCUCGACAAAUAUAUUUACCUGGGUCAGCAGCUGAGCAGAGACAACUUAUUCGAAGGGGAAUGAAAUAGGAGACAAAAGGCAGAGUGGUCAAGUUUCAACAAAAUAAAGACAUCUCUAACAGAUGAUGAACUGCCCAUUAAGAAAAGAUUUAUUAACUAAGAAAAAGAAAUGAGUUAUUUACAAGGUUAAAGCAGGUAAACACACACACACACGAGUUACAGUUUUAGGUUCCAAAAGGUGGUAGAAGCUUCUAUAAUGGGCAAGCUCUGUAUGUCCUUUAGGGCCAGCCCAGGCCGAGCAUGAGGGAACUUUUGCUUAUGCUUAAUAA